UAUUAGAUAAGUGUUAUUACGCACUAAACGAAAAACGCGCAUUUAAAUGUAUCAUUUAUGCAAAGAAAUUUUACUGAGGUUUAUAGGGCGAAAGAAUUUUUAUAUAAGUGUUAUUACGCAUUGAACGAAAGACGCGCAUUGAAAUGUAUCAUUUAUGCAAAGAAAUUUUACUGAGGUUAAUAGGGCGAAAGAAUCUU